CUCCAGAGGGAGAACAGCCCCACUUGGGCCGCCUUAUGGGUCUGUUGACCAGGAAGAAGCCUUUGUAGACAGGGAAGUAGAAAGGAACUGGCAGUGAAUGGGUGCUGAGGAGCCAAGACCCGACCGACCGGGACAAUAGAUGGGGGGAGGCGUUGAGGCCGGAGAGGCUAGAGGAGAAAGCCAUCUGGAGACCUUUGGAAAGUGAAGAAGACAGAGGCUUUGACUGUUAAUACAGAACAAGCCUUUAGUCCCAGCACUCAGGCUGCCCUCUGCUGGUUGCAUAUAGAGGAGCUACUAGAAAGGAUGGCACUCUGGGGCCAGAAACCAGGAGGCUUGAGGCGGAGCCACAGAAGAGGGUCCUGGGACCUGAGAGCACUGUGUUUCCCGCUCACACAAGCGACAGAGGCUACCAUGAUGGCAUAAUGUACUGCAAUCUUUUCUGGAGAAGAAUGUUUAAGAAGCCAUAAAUGAUGUGGGAGUCUCUGUGUGCUGUGAUUACCAUUAAUGAAUAAAGAAACUGCUUUGGACCUAUAGCAAGGCAGAACUUAGCUAGGCAGGGGAAAGCUAGGCUGAAUGCUGGGAGGAAGAACGGUGGAGUCAGUGAGAAGCCAUGAAUCCUCUGGAGACAGACGCUGGUAUCUUUAGCCUGCAAGCCACUGUCACAUGGCUAUACACAUAUUAAUAGAAAUGGAUUAAAAGAAAUAGAAAUAAGAGUUAGCCAAUAAGAAGUUAGAGCUAAUGGACCAAGCAGUGAUUUAAUUAAUACAA